AAUAGUGUUUCUUUUAUGAACUUGGAUGCUCUUUUGUUUGCUCUAUAGUUAUUUAGAAUUGUAAGACCCUCUUAGUGGAUUUUUUUUCUUUGAAAAGUAAGUAUAUAGUGUCUGUCCCCGUUUCUUCUUACUAGUUUGGGUUUGAAGUCUAUUUAGUCAGAUACUAAAAUGGUUACUGUUAGGUUUCAAACCUAAUCACUAAGGUACCUAUUUAACAUAUCAAAGUGGACCUGGUCACCAGGUUCCCUUUGAAUUUCCCCACUUUGAAUAGUCCCUCCUUAUUGCAGUGUCUCCCUGACUAGGAUACACCCCACCCCACCCCCACCCUGAACUCUCCAGCCCAGGGGGCUAGACUGCUCUCUCUAUAUAAUCCAACCAUUUUGGCUGCCUGCUAACUUUGUACCUUUGAGCCUUUCGCUGAUGCACCUGGUUCCCCUCUCUUCCCCUUUCCUUCUCCCCCGACCCCUUCCCAACAUUGCCCGCUCACGGUCACCUAUGCUCUGGAUUCUCUCAGAAGUCCCUGACUCUAAGUAGGCACUCCCUUUUAUUGACAACAAACUUUAACCUACAACAUACCUGGGAACAGUCAUGUCCCUUUUUUUUUCUUUUUUUAAUUCAGCUACAAGAAGUUCCUUGCUUCUUGUGUCCAUUUUCUUGGAAUAUCUUUUUCCAUUCUUUUACUCUCAGGAGAUGCCUAUUCUUUCUUCUACUUCUUCAUCAUCAUGAUCGUCAUCAUCAUCAUCACUAUUAUUAAUAUCCACCUUACAUCCUGAUUGGACCCCCCUCCCCCAGUCCCACCUUCACAAAUCCCUCCCUGAAUUUCCCCCUUCCCUUCUGAGAGAAGGGGAAGCUCCUUUUGAGUACUGUACUGGCUGGUUUUGUGUGUCAACUUGACACAAGCUAAUCACAGGAAAAAGAGCCUCAGUUGUGGAAAUGCCUUCUUGAGACCCAGCUGUAAGGCGUUUUCUCAAUUAGUGAUCAAGUGGGGAGGACCCAGCCCAUUGUGGUUGGUGCUGUCCCUGGGCUGGUGGUCUUGGGUUCUAUAGGAGAGCAAGCUGAGCAAGCCAGGGAAAGCAAGCCAGUAAGUACCAUCCCUCCAUGGCCUCUGCAUCAGCUCCUGCUCCCUGACCUGCUUGAGUUCCAGUCCUGACUUCCUUCAGUGAUGAACAGCAAUGUGGAAGUGUAAGCUGAAUAAACCCUUUCCUCCCCAACUUGGUUCUUGGUCAUGAUGUUUUUGCAAGAAUAGAAACUCUGACUAAGACAAGUAUCAUCCUGUGACAUCAAGUCAUGGCAAGACUAAGUGGAGAUGAACACUGUACUACUUCCUGAGUGUGUGCCACAAACUUCCAGCAUAGAAAGGAAACAGCAGCAGGCAUGGGGACAAAGACAGAGUCUGCUGGGUUUUUAAUUGGGGAAUUGAGAGCAUUAAUGUUGAGAACUGAUGACUUCUAGUAUGGUGUUGUGGGAUCAGCUUCUGGUGGUGGGAUUAUCCCCUCUUUAUAGUAAGAAGGGGGCACAAAAAGAUGAACACGAACUUAGUUAAACUUAAAAUCCUAGUGUGGGAAAGAUGAAGCAUUCUCUGUGGACAUUUUUCUGAGUCAAGUAUUAUUCAGGCAAGCAGCAGAAGUGGGGAGGGGUAGGUUUGAGAAUAUUGCUGGAAACGGCCAUGUGAGUUUAGUGAGGGCCGACCGGUGGAGCAGUGUAUGCUCACUGCCUGGUAGGCUGAACAGCAUUCCUUCCUCCUGUCUUAUGUGCUUAUUUUAGUCAGUUCAGGGUGUGGGGUGUCUUGUGAAAAGCUAGCUAAGCCAUGUCUAUUGCCAGAGGGGUAGAGCUCUGUCCAUGGGCCAGAGUAAGAGUCUACAGAGCGGGCACCAACCUUCCAGCAGUUGGGGAGCUGUUUCCAGCAUUGUACAAUCCCCAAGGGAAGAGGGACUCCUCUCCUGUAAGGUUUGCCUGCGGGCCAAGCAUUCUCGGCACAUGGAGCUUUAUUGGAAAGUUUUUGUUUAGGGUAUUUGCAUGUGAUUGAGUCAAGGUGCACUGAACUGACCCAUCUGUUGUUCCCUUGGCUGAGUUUCCACUCUCUGUGUUGUAUAUAGCUCAUCCUACACGGUGGGUAGACAUGUGCAAAGUACCCUAUGCCAGACUGCAAUAGAAUGGUCUGCUUCAGUGGAACUCCUGCUUUACUUCUUGUGCAUCUGACAUUGCAGAAGUUCAACAGAUGUGGAAAAGCUAAUCAACCAAGCGAAAAUAUACUAAUGAGUAUUUUAAAUUUGAAGUCUACAGAAAUGAAAUAGAUUUGUGAGUUAAGACAUAUUGUCUUACUUUCUCAGCCUAUCUCUUUGUUGUUUUUUUUUUUAAGAAAAUAGAUGCUUAUCAUCACUGUGAGAACUGAAACCAUAUAGAUAAGGUGACUAUAUAGUGUCUGGACAAAGAGCUCACUAAAGUUAGCCAUGCAUGAAAACACAUCCCGUAAAGGCAGAGUUAUGAUCUGCUCUGCUAAUGAGGGUCGUAUAACACAUGCUUCCAGUUUGAAUAGGAAUAUCCUCACAGUAGCUCCUGGAUGUGGAAGAACUUGUAUCUAAUUUGCAGAAGAGGAAUACAGAAAUAUCUAUUUUUUCUCUCUCUCUCUUUCUUUCUUUCUUUCUUUCUUUCUUUCUUUCUUUCCUUCCUUCCUUCCUCUUCUUUAAGUACAGCAAGCAUUUCUCUGUUUUGUUGUUGCUCUUGCUGCAGCUUCUACUAUUUUGUUGUUGUUGUUGUUGUUGUUUCGAUAUUUUAGACAGGGUCUCACUGUGUAGAUCUGGCUGUCCUAGAACUUGCUCUCUAGACUAGGCUGGCUUGAACUCACAGAGAUUUAUUGGCUUCUGCCUCUAAGUGCUAAGAUUAAAAGCGUGUGCUACCAUGCCCAACCAAGAUCCAUUUUCUUAAUGCCUGGCAACUAGUAAAUGGUAGAAUGAAGAUAUGCAAACCGAGCCUCAUAGCUGGGUGUCAGUAACGUGUAAUACUACCAUUAAUAGCAAAAGUAUGAGUACAGAGAGCUCAUGUUAGCCAUGAGCUACAAUCCCUGCACUUAGGAGGUAGAGGCAUGAGAACCAUGAGUUGAGCCUAGGCUAUAUGGUGAGAUUCUUUUUCAAGAGAGAGGGAGCUCACUUUGGUGUCAAUGAGAUUUUUGUUAGUCUUCGAAUAUGACAAGAUCAGUGGGGGAAGAGGGAUGACCCAUUCCCAAAGCAUGGGGUGACUACAAGCCAAAGCUUGCCUUGCUCACAACACUAGGCCUAUUUGACCCUGCCAGGUACAUGCCUCACAGGGAAAUAAUAUAAGAUGAAGCUGCCUUAGAUAUGUAAGAACUACAGCAUGCCGUUGCUUGCAAGUUUAUCAGGAUCUGAUGCAUGAGGGUGGGAGGGAGGGAGGGAGGGAGGGAGGGAGAGAGAGAGAGAGAGAGAGAGAGAGAGAGAGAGAGAUCUAAGGGAUGGCUCUUUUGUACAAGUAUGAGGACCAGAGUAAGGGUCCUCCGCUCUGAUGUCAAUGUCUGGUGGGCGUGGUGGCUCCCUUUUAAUCCCAGUGCUUGGGAGACAGAUAAGAUCCCUGAAGAAAGCUAGCUAGCUAGACUAGACAAAUUAGUGAGCUCUGGGUUCAAGCGAGAGAAUGAAUGAGGUAGAGAAGGAUGAAGACACAUGACAUCACCUUUGAGUGCGCGUGUGCGCGCGCGCACACACGCAUACACACACACACGCUGACACUCACACAUAUAUUUAUACAUCACACACAUAAACAUGCAAAGCAAUCCUAAGGGACAUUCUCACAGAACUUUAGAGUGCAUUCAUCAUUUCAUAUCCAAAGCUUUUGGUUGUUCUUCAUGAUAAGCUUGUCACUGGGGUGGGCACAUCCAACGUGCCUACUUCGGAAUGGAUACCUAGUCUGUGGCCAUAUACACCCCCAAUAGCAUCCGAAUGGAUACUGGCUUACAGUAGUUUCUUUUUGUACACACCAGCCAGUGACGGUCAGCAGCACUCCUCAGUGACUUGUCCUGUUCACAAAGCCAGUGUGUGCUGGAGCUAGAACUGAGACGAGCUCCUUGCCUCCAGCUCACUCAGCUUGCCAUGCUCUUGCAAUUAGCCCAGUAGUCUUUCCUGUGCAACUCAUCCAAGGAAUGUUUGGGUGCCUGCCUACUGUCCACAUCAUUUGUAUCUGGCUGCAGGAAUGCAAAGACAAGAAUGUAUACAGUGGUCACCAAUCACAGAGAAACUGCACGUUCAUAUCUUUAAAAAAUGAGAACGGCACAGAGCAGAGUGUGGCUAGGCCAGAAGCAGUCGCGAGGGUACCAGCUUUAUGGGAUGGGCGGAGGAGGCGCGCAGUCUCACAGAGACAGCAGUUCGAACAUAUUCGAAAUCACAUUCUCACAGAUGGCCUGGGGCUCAGCCUUAACACUCCCAGCCUAUCAAGUGUUAGUGGACACACUGGAACUAAUGAGCCUCGCAAGGGGACAAGCAGUACUAAUGAGUGCAAGCCGGUGCAGGUGUGCCGGCGUGGGAGCGCUAGGAGGGCCUCACAGAACAGCUGGAAGAAGUACAGUAGCCGACAGCCAACAGCUGCUGCCCCUCUGCAGCCCAUCACUGUAUCACACAGAGGUGACACUCCCUGCGAGUUCCAGACCAGAGUCAGAGCAUGACGGUGGCAGCCGAGCCGGGUAUUACUGUCUAACAUAGGAGUGCCAGGUACUCAUUAGCCUGCUCACACCUUCUCAGAGGCGCCCUGCCUCCUGGGGCUUCCUGUCCAGUCAGUCUCUCUUCACUUUCCUUCCACAUUGCUGUCCCCUGUGUGAGACUCUCCCUGCCUGCUCUUGCCUUCUCUCCUUUGGGAAUGGGAAUGAAAGAGAGGAGGGACAGGGAGGGGAGGGGAUGUGACAAGAGUGGAACAAUGCCUUGUUUUAGAAGUGAGGAAAGGUGGAGAGUGAGGACCAGAGAGCAUGGUGGGAUUGAAAUGCCAGAAAGCUUUGGAGAAGACACAAGGAGAGGAAUUCCAGGAGGACAAUCUCCUGCUGCAGCCUAAAGAGAAAUGAAAAGUGGUGGGACUAUUCAGCCACAUAUUUUGCUUUAAAAAAAUAACAUAAAAAAUGUUGAGUGAAUGUAUAAACAGAGAGCCAUUCAGGCAAAUAAACCCCCUAGUUCUCGGGCAUUUUCUCCCAGCAAAACUAAGUUUGCUUACUUGCUUGCUUUUGGUAUGGAACUUCUCUAUGGUGGUACAAACUGGCCUCAAAUGUUCUAGAUGUUCAGACUGGCCCCAGCCUCCCAAUAGCUGAACCGGCCAACAUGUGCCACCAUGCCUGGUAAAAACUGAGGAACCAGUCCUGCAGGUCUUUUCCUUGGCUGGUCCAUCUAUAGCAAGUGUUUCCCUGGGUGCCAAGGAAGGAGGUGGUGUGGGGCGGGCAGGGGUAGGGGGGAGUGGAGAAGGAAGAGAAGGAAUCAUUUCAUCUUGAUUUGUUAGGUUAGCACAAAGUAAUGGGUUUAACUUUCAUACACAAGUGUCCUUAUCUGGCUUACUCGCCCACAAGGUCCAACCUAGGAGUGUGGUCUCCAUCACCUCUCGCACCUCUCUUUGGAAUCCAGGCAUUUGGGCAGUGUGGGAUGGGAAGUGAGACAUUGCUCCUGAGGGUGUGGAAGAGGAAAGCGGCAUGAGAAAAGACUGGGUAAAACCAAAGACUUUCUCUGCUCCCCAGCAGUUAGUGACCCAGGAUACAUCUUCAAAGGGAGGGACAGGGACAGGCCCUUUAAACCUGUCAAAUGUUUUAACUUGGUGAUAAAUCACAAUGAGUGAAGGGAAGCAGUGUGGACUGGUUGUAGACUGAACUCAGAACUGCUUUGGGGAUCCUGCCACGCUCUCUCCCAUGUCCUCCGAUCCUGGAGUCAGGGUCACUCCACUCCCUUUAAUCCUUUGCUUUGCCCAGCACUUGAGAAGUUCUUGCUGCUGUCUUACCAGGGCUACAAGCCCUUUAAGGGGGAAUCUACCACAUGAUUGAUGUGCAAAUCCCUGAGUCCAGCAUGGUGUCUGGCACAAUGUCACUCUCUAUUAAAAGGGGAAAAAAACUAAAACAUUCAACGCUCUGAAAAUUUUGAUCUAAGAACCUGUGUGAGGAAAAAGAACCUAUUAUAUAUAUAUAUAUAUGUAUAUAUAUAUAUAUAUAUUUUUUUUUAUUAACUUGAGUAUUUCUUAUUUACAUUUCAAGUGUUAUUCCCUUUCCCAGUUUACGUGCCAACAUCCCCCUAACCCCUCCCCCUCCCCUUCUUUAUGGGUGUUCCCCUCCCCAUCCUCCCCCCAUUGCCGCCCUCCCCCCAACAAUCAUGUUGACUGGGGGUUCAGUCUUAGCAGGACCCAGGGCUUCCCCUUCCACUGGUGCUCUUACUAGGAUAUUCAUUGCUACCUAUGAGGUCAGAGUCCAGGCUCAGUCCAUGUAUAGUCUUUAGGUAGUGGCUUAGUCCCUGGAAGCUCUGGUUGCUUGGCAUUGUUGUUCAUAUGGUGUCUCGAGCCCCUUCAAGCUCUUCCAGUUCUUUCUCUGAUUCCUUCAAUGGGGGUCCUGUUCUCAGUUCAGUGAACCUAUUAUAUUUUUAAAAUAAAACCUUUAUUUCUAUGGUUGUGCAUGUGUAUAAAAUUUACAAUUUUGACCCUUUUAAAGUAUAUAGUUCAGUGGUAUUGAGCAUACUCAACACCCACUUACCCACAGAACAUGUCCUACCCGGAAAAUCUUCAUACUCUUUAAACAUUAGCUCUCCAUUCUCCCUCCCCUGACCCCCAAUGGUCACUGCUAUACUGCUUGUCACUAUGACUUGACUACUCAAGGUGCCCUCAUGGCUGGGCCAUUUCUUGAAGCCUAACCGUACUCCUCAGGAUCAUCCAUGUUGUAGCAUAAAUCACAACUUCUUUUCUAUUUCUUAUUUAUUUAUUUAUUUAUUUAUUUAUUUAUUUAUUUAUUUAUUGUGUGUGUGUGUGUGUGUGUGUGUGUGUGUGCGCGCGUGUGUGUUCGCAGAGGCCAGAGGAGGAUGUCAGAUGUUCUGUUUUAUUCCCUUGAGAGAAAUUCUCACUGAGCCUGGAACUAGGCUGAUGGCCAGCAAGCCCUAAUUAUUCUUCUGUCUCCACUCCCACGUUGGUGAGGUUAUAGGCAUGUGACCACUCAGGUUUUCAGUUUUGUUGUUUUCUUUUGUUUUGUUUCAUUUUGUUUUUAAUGUGGGUACUGGGAAUUUGAACUCAUGUCCUUAUGGUUGAACAGCAAGUUCUCACCCUCUGGGUCAUCCCCCAGACCCAUUUCUUUCCUCUUUAAUAGCAUUUCCAAAUAGACCUAUACCAUAUCUUGAUUAUCUCUCUUUGAGUGGAAUUGGGGUUGUUUCCAUGUUGGCUGUAAAUGAUGCUGCUACACAUGAAGAUUACAAGCAUUUCUUUAAGAUCCUAUGUUAAGUUCUUUUAUAAAUAUCUAGAACUUCUUUUUUUCCUAGCUCUUGGAGUAAAAACACAGCUAGCUCUGAAACCCUUUGCCCUGCAGAGGAGACAGGAAACUAAAUAGUGAAGAAUGUAGGCUGUAGGGCAAGUACAAGUUUCAGGAGGGAGUGACGAUGUAAGAUGAGCUGACUCCUUAAGUGGAGGUGACUUCAUCUGCUGACCAGAGCAGCAGUAGGGGAGAACUGAAUCCGAGGUUUGAGGAAGGAGAAAAGCCAUCACAGCUGUUGAGGGGAAUGUAACCAGAAGAUGGCAACAUUUUGGCAAGGGACGGUACUGUAUGUUUGUAUCAGAGGAGAUGGGGUGAAAGUAGAGGAACCCCCGUUCUUUGGAGACAGUAAUUUAGCUGCCCCCAAACUUGUUGUGUUGUCUAAAGUAACUUUGGUCUUCUGAUCAUCCUGCUUCCUCCUCCCAAGUGCUGGGAUGACAGGCGUGCACCACCAUGCCUUGUUUUGCGGAUGCUAAGGAUAGAACCCAGGGUCUUGUGCAUCGUAGGCAAGUGGUCUUCCAACUGUACUGUAUCCUAAGCUAACUUAAAAUCUAGCUCAUUUGUGUAGGGAGUAAAGAAAGCUUGUGGUAAGUGUGCUUAGAAACGAUCCUUAUAGAAGGCUAUGGACAUCUGCCAAGGCCCAGGCAGAAUUGACAGGGUCAUGUGGUAGGGUCAAGGGCUACAGAGGAAAGUGGGGAGAAGAAUGGACACUGAAAAUGAUCUACCUCUGUAAAUGGGUCAGAGGAUGUGGCAGGAGGCCAAGGGAGGAAAGGGCAGCUAAAUGCCAAAGAAGUGCUGAGUGCCGCAUACCUAAACAAGCCUAGAUCCCCACAGGAGCUCCCUGAGAAACAAGGAGGGAACGACCAUGGCCAUAACACCACUAUCAAGUCACUCCCAAUGCCUCCUGUCAGCCUGUCCUUGACAUGAGCCCUCUCUAUGAUCAGACUGCUCAUCCUCCUGGACACUGGGAACUUUUCUUCACUAUCAAGACCUCCAUGCUGCAUCCGGGAAGCAAACUUCCCACUUUUUGUUGACCUCGUUGUUUCAUUCCUACAGUGACUGUCUGGCCUAAGGCCCACCAGUAACAGAAAGCUGAGUCCUCAGGGAGCCUCUUUAGUGACUCCAUGGGCUGACUGCACUUCCAGUUCUCCACUGUCUUAGCUCAUUAUAGUGCUAUGGGCUGAAGUGAAACUGCCCAGGGAGCUCAUCUUUGGUCUGUUGUUGUGAAGGAGACAUGUUAGAAGCCCUCCCACAGGCCGUUUGCCUAAGGAAACUACUGUUCUUUGGAGGCAUUGACUAUCUAGAUGACAGUGUCCCCACUGUGUGUUCCACAAAUGUGCUGGCAACCAGUGCUUGAUGCCACAGGAGUCGCAAAGCAGCACAACCCAAGGACGUGCUUCUCAAAGCUGCAGUCAUCACCAAAGCCAGGACAGAGCUCCAGAAGGUGCUGCACAAGAACACAAGGUCAAGGCUGGCCAGUUCCCACACGUCUGCCAUCACAGCUACUCUGCAGCUGAGACUGCGAGAUCUGUAAGUUCAAGGCUUGUAAGAGCUUCGGGCUGAGUUCAAGGCCAGCCUGGGUAAUUUUGUGACGUCCUGUCUCAAAAUAAAAGCAAGAUAGUUCUGGCAGUAGAGUGUUUGUCUAUAAUUCACAAGGCCCCAUAUCCAAUACCCAUCAUCACAAAAUAAAGUAAAUAUGUGACUGAGAAUGAAUGAAGAUGGUACCAUGGCCUUCAAACGGGGAGUUUCAGCAGGCGGAGGAUUGCACAGGGAUGAGAAGACAGGCCUCACAAGGAGCUCGGUGGUAAGGCAAAGGAAGAGCAAUUCCCAGUUAAUGGUUUACUGCAUUCUAAUUACAGCCACAACCUCUGCAAUAGUUGUCUCCAGUUAAAACCAAAGAGCAGCAUCUUUGCUGUCUUCUGUGACCACCAGAGGCUGAAGGAGAAGAUUCGACAGCAAACAACUGGCUUCUGUUUGCUGGGUCAGGGUCAGGUGUGGUGGCUUUCCGAUGUUAUCCUGACCAGAGUACAGAUUUGGAAGGUGCAUUCUGUACAUUGGAGAAUUAAGCACAUAGAGUUGUAACACUUUCAGUCCAGGAAUGGGGGGUAGGGUGCCUAACAGUAGCUUUAUUAAUAAACAUUUAAUUAUUCCUCAUAACAGACCUGGUACUAUAUGCCUAUAGUUCUAGCACUUAAGAAUGGCAGGAGGAUUAGGCAUGCAAGAUGGCCUUGACUGUGUAGUAAGGUUAGGACCAGGCUGAGCUAUAUAUCUCAACUGGAGGAAAAAAAGUCUAUAGUCUUUUUCCCACAUAUACCCAUCUUCAAUGGGGCACUUUUGCCUGCUGGGGGCUAAUCUCACUACAUUCAUAACAGUUAGUCAUGGAACUGCCUUUCAAACAUGAAGAAGGGGACAGGGCCAAAGAUGGUUUCCUCAUCUGCUCUGUCUUUCCAUUCACAAAGACACUUUUCUGCCAGAGGCAUUACAGAACAGUUAUCUUGAAACCCCAUUGCCAGAACUCAGUUAUAUGCUAUGCCCUAGCAAGAGUUAAGCUAGUCAUAAGUUCCCAUGGCCCUAGUACACCUUGACCGAUUCCAUGAGGUCAGUUUGUCUCUGCUUGCUCCCUCAGUGAAGCCAGAGAAGGGUGUGAGGAUAGCAGAUGCUAAGUGAUGACCUGUAUCUGCCUUGUGUGCCCCUUCCUGUUAGCUCUGUGUCAACUGUAGCCUGUGAGUAGAGUCCUAAAAUUAACACCCCUAACACGUAACAUAUGUACCUGACUUGUACAAGAAUGGCAGGUCAAAAUUCUAAGCAGCACACUUUCAUUCUGCAGAAGUACAUAGGACUGCAGUUCUGUUCCUAACAUCCACAUUCGGUGGCUCACAGCUACCUGUAACUGUAGCAUCAGGACAUCUGAGCUCCUCUGCUGACCUCCAAAAGGACUCCCAUGUGUGUACGUGUGUACACAUAAAUACACACAGAAAUAAUUAGUGCACAUAACAUAACGUAACUAAAACAAAUGAAUCUUUUUUUUUUUUGACAGAAUCUCACUGUACAGCUCUGGCUUCCUGACUGGACUGGAAUUCUCCAUGUAGCCUAGGCUAGCCUUCACCUCACAGAAAUCUGCAAGCCUGCUAGGAUGCAGUGCAUGCCAUCACUCCUGACAAAAUAUCUUUUAAAAAAAGAUUGGUGAAUGAAUGUACAUUUAUGUAUAAAUAUUAUCUAUAUUGAAUACCUUUUUUGUGUAUCUCUUGAACUAAACUAAACUUAACCUGCAAAAGUCUUGUCCUAGCUGGUUUUGACAAGACUACUUCUUAUAAUUGUUGGUGUCUUUGCUGGAGCUCCCUAUUCAGUUGGUUCAAGGGCGGGUUUAGUGCCCCAUCUUAAACUCUAGGACUGCGGUUUCAGUUUCGACAGUAACUGUGGAGCUGCACGCACUCACCGAGCUCUGGAAGUGUGCGGGAUGUGACCAGUGGGAUGCAGGAGCUAAACUUUUAAUCUUGUUAAGUUUUAAUUUAUUUAAAUUUAAAUUUUAUUCAGUCCAUAAUUGUGCUUGUAAUAAUUUAUAUAUGUGAAUCUCCUCUUCAGCCAUCGGUAUUGUGAAACCUUAAAUGUAAUUCAACUCCACAUGAUGGUUUGCUAUGUCGGCUGAGAUUAUUAUAAGCAUAAAACUACCAAAUCUGGAACACCUGUACAAACAUAAAAAAACUCAAUUUGUAUACAGAUUAUUUGUUGAAAUGUUGACAUUUUAAAUAUACUUAGUAUACAAGGCAUAUUAAAAUUAAUUUUACUUCUCUA